UUAUCAGGUGAAUGGGAUUUCUUUGGCAGACCAACAACAGGACAAUUUUAACAAUUUUCGCUAUCUUAUUCAUCAUUAAAUUCACUUCUGAGAACGUUUUAGGCAAGAAAUUAACUGUUUAGAUUUCGAAUAUAGGAAGUCUUGUGAAAAUCGUUGCCGAAUUAACAAUUUGCUUCAAAGUUUUUGGAGUUGAGAAGCUCCAUAAAAUGACGCGACAGCCAGCUAGCGCCUGCCGGGGCCGCUAGCUCGUCACUUGGAGAACCCAAUGUUGCUAUGGUUUCUGGUGCUGCCCUUGCCUUGCCUGCACAGUUUCAGGAAGAUUUGGAGAGAACCGUUGUCUCCCAUUAUGUGACAUAUGCAGCCCUGCCAUAUUAGCAGCCUUGGGGAUACCUCUGUGUGCGGCGCCUCCUGCAGGCCUGUCCUUAAGGGCUGCCAUGCGAAAUAGAUAUGGUAUCAAGGGUUCUCUCUGUAAGGACAUCGCAGUUUCCUGUUUCUGCGGGUGGUGCAACUGGUGUCAGAUGCAUCGUGAGUUAAGACAUCGCGAAAAAACUCCCAUGGUCGUCAAUGUUACAAACGUGAACGUGCAGCAGCCUGUUCCAAUGAUGAUGACUCCUGUAUACCAAUAUCAGUGAAAACCAAAGAUUGAGAGUAUGAUGAUGAAUAACUUUCACUUUCUUAAUAAUCAUGACAAUUAGAGUCUAAUAAUUGUUGACUAUCGCGUCAAAUUAUUUUCUGAAGUUUCUGUUUGAAUUUACUGUAUAUAUCCUAAACCUCUCUUAAUUUGUUUCUGUGAAGUUUUUUCCAAGUCGGAUUCACCAAACUCUCUUAAGUGCACAAACCUGAAGUAAAUUGUUCAGUUCAUCAUGAAUGUCACUUGUUGUUUGUGAGAUUAUAUCAUAAGCAUAAUUGACCAUGUAAGGCUACCUGAUACUGUUGCAGUUUUUAUUUAUUUCACACGGUUGAGCUUUAUGUCCUCUUGUCAUUAAUCACCAGACAAAAACUUUAGCAGUUAGUAAUCAUAUUAGAGAAUCAAAAAUUAUUAGAAAAUAUUAAUAAUACAAUGUUUCAUCAUAGGAGUCACAGACAUAAAGAGUGAAUGGUCUGACAUGAAGUCCUAUGCUACAAACCAUCUUUAUAAAGCAAAGCAGUCACAUGACUAAUAUGUGAGGUGGUCAAGAGGAUGUGACAACUCCGCCUGUGGAUAAAGUCUAACUAUCUGUUGAGAAUUUUGUUCGUACCUACGAUAACAUUUAUACAUGCCACAAAAUCCCUCGUAUGACCCACUUAAUAACAAAUCUGUUCCUCGGAGUGUUUUUAUAUGUAUAGUGCUAUCUAACAUUGCUAGUUUGCAGUUGUCUUUGCUGGGUCUUCAAAUGUAACUUUUUGGUCAAGACACAGGAAAGAGUGUUCUAUGUUGAUGAGGUGAUACAACAGUCGGCCUUCAUCGCCACUAAUUAUAUAUCAGUUUGAUUUCUUUAUACCUAUUCACUGUUUUGUCUAAUUAAGCACUUUAAUAAAGUUGA